AGUGGCGGACGGGUGAGUAACACGUGAGAAUUUACCUUUAGGAGGGGGAUAACAAUCGGAAACGAAUGCUAAUACCCCAUAUGCUUUUGAGCGAAAUGGAUUUAUUCGCCUAAAGAGAAGCUCGCGGCUGAUUAGCUUGUUGGUGAGGUAAAAGCUUACCAAGGCGACGAUCAGUAUCUGGUUUGAGAGGACGAUCAGACACACUGGAACUGAGACACGGUCCAGACUCCUACGGGAGGCAGCAGUGGGGAAUUUUCCGCAAUGGGCGAAAGCCUGACGGAGCAAUACCGCGUGAGGGAAGACUGCCUAUGGGUUGUAAACCUCUUUUUUCAGGGAGGAAAAAAAUGACGUGUACCUGAAGAAUAAGCAUCGGCUAACUCCGUGCCAGCAGCCGCGGUAAGACGGAGGAUGCAAGUGUUAUCCGGAAUCACUGGGCGUAAAGCGUCUGUAGGUGGUUUAAUAAGUCAACUGUUAAAUCUUGAGGCUCAACUUCAAAAUCGCAGUCGAAACUAUUAGACUCGAGUAUAGUAGAGGUAAAGGGAAUUUCCAGUGGAGCGGUGAAAUGCGUAGAUAUUGGAAAGAACACCGAUGGCGAAGGCACUUUACUGGGCUAUUACUAACACUCAGAGACGAAAGCUAGGGUAGCAAAUGGGAUUAGAUACCCCAGUAGUCCUAGCUGUAAACUAUGGAUACUAGA
rnacentral:rRNA from 1 species